GAGAAAUUAGUUAAUUCAUAACACUACCUUGUCAAGAUAGAAUAAUGAGCCACAAUCUCAUAUUUCUCU
rnacentral:tRNA from 1 species